AUACGGAGGAUGCGAGCGUUGUCCGGAAUGAUUGGGCGUAAAGGGCGCGUAGGCGGCCCGGUAAGUCUGGAGUGAAAGUCCUGUUUUUAAGAUGGGAAUUGCUUUGGAUACUGUCGGGCUUGAGCGCAGGAGAGGUAAGUGGAAUUCCCAGUGUAGAGGUGAAAUGCGUAGAGAGUGUGAGGAACACCAGUGGAGAAGGCGGCUUACUGGACUGUAACUCACUCUGUAGCGCGAAAGUGUGGGGAGCAUAUAGGAUUAGAUACCCGUGUAGUCCACACUGUAAACGAUGAUUGCUAGGUGUAUGGGGUAUCGACCCCUUCUGUGCUGCAGUCAACACAAUAAGCAUUCCGCCUGGUGAGAUCGGUAUCACGGUUGAAGCUCAAAGGAAUUGACGGGG
rnacentral:rRNA from 1 species